rnacentral:rRNA from 1 species
UACGAAGGGGGCUAGCGUUGCUCGGAAUUACUGGGCGUAAAGCGCACGUAGGCGGAUCUUUAAGUCAGGGGUGAAAUCCUGGAGCUCAACUCCAGAACUGCCUUUGAUACUGAGGACCUUGAGUUCGGGAGAGGUGAGUGGAACUGCGAGUGUAGAGGUGAAAUUCGUAGAUAUUCGCAAGAACACCAGUGGCGAAGGCGGCUCACUGGCCCGAUACUGACGCUGAGGUGCGAAAGCGUGGGGAGCAAACUAGGA